AUCAUUUUGGCGGAUAAACGCAUAAGGUUUAGGACUUUGAGAUGGAUUUACCAAAUGGUA
rnacentral:tRNA from 1 species